rnacentral:rRNA from 1 species
UACGAAGGGGGCUAGCGUUGCUCGGAAUCACUGGGCGUAAAGGGCGCGUAGGCGGAUCUUUAAGUCGGGGGUGAAAGCCCAGGGCUCAACCCUGGAAUGGCCUUCGAUACUGGAGAUCUUGAGACCGGAAGAGGUAAGUGGAACUGCGAGUGUAGAGGUGAAAUUCGUAGAUAUUCACAAGAACACCAGUGGCGAAGGCGGCUUACUGGUCCGGUUCUGACGCUGAGGCGCGAAAGCGUGGGGAGCAAACAGG